UACAGAGGGUGCAAACGUUGUUCGGAUUUACUGGGCGUAAAGCGCGUGUAGGCUGCUUCGCAAGUCGGAUGUGAAAGCCCUGGGCUCAACCCAGGAAAUGCAUUCGAAACUGCAGAGCUGGAGUCCUGGAGAGGAAGGCGGAAUUCUCGGUGUAGAGGUGAAAUUCGUAGAUAUCGAGAGGAACACCGGUGGCGAAGGCGGCCUUCUGGACAGUGACUGACGCUGAGACGCGAAAGCGUGGGGAGCAAACAGG
rnacentral:rRNA from 1 species